GUAGGUGGCAAGCGUUGUCCGGAAUUAUUGGGCGUAAAGCGCGCGCAGGCGGUCCUUUAAGUCUGAUGUGAAAGCCCACGGCUCAACCGUGGAGGGUCAUUGGAAACUGGGGGACUUGAGUACAGAAGAGGAAAGCGGAAUUCCAAGUGUAGCGGUGAAAUGCGCAGAGAUUUGGAGGAACACCAGUGGCGAAGGCGGCUUUCUGGUCUGUAACUGACGCUGAGGCGCGAAAGCGUGGGGAGCAAACAGGGAUUAGAUACCCUGGUAGUCCACGCCGUAAACGAUGAGUGCUAAGUGUUAGGGGGUUUCCGCCCCCUUAGUGCUGCAGCUAACGCAUUAAGCACUCCGCCUGGGGAGUACGGCCGCAAGGCUG
rnacentral:rRNA from 1 species